rnacentral:lncRNA from 1 species
AUGGGUUUGAUCCCUGGACUGGGAAGAUCUUCUGAAGAAAUUGGCAACCUGCUCCAAUAUUCUUGCCUGGGUCUCAAAGAGCCGGACACGACUGAGCACGCACGCACACUAGCUGGGGAGACUAAAAUAAUCAUCUCGCAUAGCAGGCUUUGCUAUCACAGGCAAGAGACACAGUGGCAAUUAUACAAUUCAGGCAACAUUUUCACUACAAUUUCCAAUGAUCUCCCAACCUUUAGAGAGAAAACUUAGCUUCUUUUGUCAAAUUUUCCUAAAAGACAGUCUCUGCUAUCUGCAAUAUUGGCUGUAUCUAAACAUCAAGUGCAACCAUGAUACCCUUUAAUAGUUAAUCCUCCAACAUGUAAUUAGGCAUUCACAUGACAAUCAAAACCAUGACUGUAUUUCAUGUUUGCCUUCCCUUUCAAGCCCUCUACUAGAGGGGCACUUACUCUGUCAAAUCUGCUAUAGUAAUCAAAACAUUGAAAUUACUUCUUUCCACACUAAAUAUACUGGAACUGGUUGUUUGAUUAAAUGUAGAGCAGAGAGUGCAAUUUGCUAAAUUACAAGUAUUCUGAACAUGUAAAUAUAGUUUAAUUACUGCAAUUAAAGAAGAUUACUGGAGAUUGGCAGAUGGGAACGUAAUGCUGUUUUAAUUAGAGUUUUUAAUGCACUGUAACAUAAGCAUAAUAUUAACCCUUUAUCCUAGAAGAGGUAGCUAGUCUUUGAAAAAUUAGUACUGGAAAAAAUGUAUUAGAGCUAGUGUUUUAUAACAAGGCCAAGACUGAGUCAAACUUCCCUGGUAGCCCAAUCAGGGAGGAGAAUCUUUUCUUCCAAGAACAGUAAACUGAGGCAGAGAGCGAAGACAGACAACACUGCUGCAGGAGUCGCAACCAUGAACAUACAUGCGAGCACGUAUGGACGCCUGUGGGCACAGAGAGACACACACACACUGACCGCGUUUCAUGAAAGAAGAAGACUGCCACAAUGCCAGAGACUAAGAGAGUCCCAUGCCGUGAAAGGUUUCAUGGAGCUCAGUGUUAGAAAACACAAAAGCAUUUCAAAAACACAUUUAUUUUUUAAAAAUGCAUUCAUUCAUCUUUGAGAAAAACUAUACCACAGAUGCAGUUGACAUGCUAAAAAGAGAGGCAAACAGUUUAUUAUUCUGCUUAUUCACCUUCCAGAAUGGUAUAUGCUACAUCAAGUAAUAUUGCAGAACGUAAGAAGCAAUCUUUGUCAUCUUGAAAGCUAUCACUUGCAACAUUUUAUCCAUUUAAGUCAAUAGCCUAUUAGAAAUUCUAAUUGAAAGUUCAAUAGUCAGCUUGGAGCCUUACAAUAGAGGUUGCCUUUUGGAAAGCCAUUUAAAGUCUUAAUCUCUUUAUCAUUUGGUAUUUUGAAGCCUAACUUUGUUCUUGUUAGGCAGAUCAAUGGCAUUAAUUUACAAAAUGGGGGAAAAUGUCACCCUUCAUCCUUUAAGUCUCAGCUCAGUGAAGAGCAGCGUAAGCGAAUCUGAUCAUUGCUUUCCCACAUUAGCAGCAAACGGUGCCAUGGGAGGCCUGAC